CGGUAGCUGAUUAUCCUGAGAGAAUAUCUCCUCAAACACUCGAACAAAAGAAAUCAGAGGCCUUUCUCUAUCUACCCUCUGAUUCUCUUCUUGCUUCCACAUACCAAAGAACAAUUUUCCCGCUAUUACCAUAUCUGAUAUCAACUUUCGGAACCCUAAUGUAUCAAGCUCAUUUUAUAUAUAUCCAUCUUUAAGCACUUGAAUUUUUCUGUAAUGACAUGGUGAAUCCCCUCCCUCCGAUUAUCAAUGGCGUUCCCGGCCCUUGGACUUGUAUGGAGGAACCACCUCAUACUUCCUCGCCCUCUGGCUUUCUGUGCCCGAAAGGUACGGCACAUCGGUUCUGUUGCGGCGGUUGAAUCAGUUGCUGAACCGGUUGCUAAACAUGGAGGAGAAGUAGUUGGGAGAAAUAGUAAGGGACAUGAAUGGAAGAAGUUGAAUUCUGAAGAACUUGGGAUAGAGACAUGGAUGAUAUCGAAGCCGACGCGGAUGGUACUGAAUGGGCUAAGGAAAAAAGGGUAUGAGGUCUACCUUGUUGGAGGUUGUGUACGAGAUCUUAUCCUAAAGAGAACUCCAAAAGACUUUGAUGUCAUUACUUCAGCUGAACUUAAGGAGGUCCGUAAAACGUUUGCACAAUGUGAAAUUGUUGGGAAACGAUUUCCCAUAUGCCAUGUUCAUGCCAUUGAUACCGUUGUGGAGGUUUCGAGUUUUAGCACCUCUGUAAAUAAUUCUAGUUGGAAGUUCACUAAGUAUUUCAGUAAACCUUCUGGCUGCAAUGGGCGUGAUUAUGUUCGCUGGAGGAAUUGCUUACAGCGGGACUUUACCAUUAAUGGGUUGAUGUUUGAUCCAUAUGCAAAGAUAGUGUACGAUUAUACAGGAGGGAUGGAAGAUAUUAGAAAAGCUAAAGUGCGCACUGUUUUACCUGCAAAUCUUUCUUUUGUGGAGGACUGUGCUCGCAUUUUACGUGCGGUCAGAAUUUCAGCCCGUUUAGGAUUUCGUUUCACUAGAGAGAUAAGUCUUUCUGUAAGAGAAUUAUCUUGCUCAGUGUUACGACUUGAUAAGGGAAGGAUCCUUAUGGAGAUGAAUUAUAUGCUGGCGUUUGGGUCUGCAGAAGCUUCCUUGAGGUUAUUAUGGAGAUUUGGACUCUUAGAGAUACUUCUGCCCAUCCAAGCAUCUUAUUUUGCUUCCCAAGGUUUUCGGAGACGUGAUGAGAGAUCUAACAUGCUUCUUUCUUUGUUCUCCAACCUUGAUAAACUUCUGGCACCUAAUCGGCCAUGCCAUUGUAGCUUAUGGAUUGCUAUCAUAGCAUUUCAUGAAGCUCUGGUUGACCAGCCUCGUGAUCCGUUGGUUGUUGCUGCAUUUAGCAUUGCUGUCCACAGUGGUGGAUCGUUGUUCGAAGCUGUAGAAAUUGCAAAGAAGAUCUCCCAACCACAUGGCCCAAGCUUUGAUGAAUUAUUAGAACCUGAAGAUCUAAACUUUGAUACUGCAUUGGUAGACCAGGUUAUUGAUCUUGCAGCAUCAGUCAAAACUGUAUUAUGCAAGAUGAGAGAUCAGUAUUAUGUUUCGCAAGCAAUGUCCAAAUACCCACAAGCUCCAUGCUCAGAUCUGGUUUUUAUCCCAUGGGCAUUGUCGCUGAGGGUAUCCAAGAUUUUUGAAUGUGUCAGAAGGGGUAUGGAAAGGGGAUCUGUCCCCAAACGGGGGAAAAAGAUUGACUACGAGUCUUUGGCAUUGGGGAGCUUGAAGGAGGUUCGACAUACAUUUGCAAGGAUUGUUUUUGACACUAUUUACCCUCCUAACCAAAACCAAUUUUCUACGUGAAGAAUUUUUUUAACUCAAAUAAUAUUAACACGACCCAUAACCAAAUGAAAAAGAGUUUUGAGUCACUUAUGCUGUGUUCUCUCUCUUGGUACGUGUUGGGAUUGAGUUAAGAGGCAUAGAAAUCAGCUCGCAGCCAAGAAUUUCCAAGAUCGAUGAUGAUAAAAGAGUAUUUGGCAUCUGGCUUUGUUACCAUUCUCCAGUUUCAUCGAACAUAAUCAAACCAAUCCUUAUGAUCUGUGGACGCAUUUGGUUUCACAAUGAUACACGGUCGUAUGGGGGAAGAGGCUAGAGGCGUAUGAAGUAGCAAUUUCACUAGGCAUUGAACGUAAUGAGUUCGCUCUUUCAAGUUGGGCCAGUCGGAUGUUAUCGGCUUUAAACCGGUAAGAAGAAGUGGGAACAAGGUUAACUCAUAAACUUACUAGACAUGGUGCGGACUCAACGAGCUUUGAGGCAUGAUAGGAAGCGUCUUUUGCGUGUGGUCGGUGUUUGUAUUGAAGGAAGAAAAUGGGGGUCUGUCGGAUAACAUGCUUUAAACGUUUUUCUCUUUGAUGAAGUUUUAUUUUCAACGACGGGAGAAAAGGCUCCCCAAGAUUUGAAACUCAAGCCGUUUUAUUUGUUUCCCACUAGUUGACCCACCCAAAAAAGAAAUAGUAAUGCUAUCAUACGUAGCAACCAUAUUAGAACACUUCCAAUAACUUAUAUAUAUUUUAAUCUAGAAUAGUUAAUCAAAAUUCAUUUUAUCUAGUUUAGCUAA